CUAGGGGACAAGCAGACAAGCAUUCCCUCUGAGACUCAUUUCCUCCUCACAAAGCUUUCCAAGAGGUGGAACAGAAAUGAGCACAUGGCAAUGCCAUUUUUACUUUCUCCCACUCAGCUUCCUAAAUCGGAGUGGCAGCCUGGAGGCCAGGCUUGCAAUGGAGCCAGAUCCAGCUUUGCCAGUCCUGGGUGAGACUCGUUGAGCAGAAAGAAAUAAGUACCGUCCUGCUGAGUAGAAACUUCCUGAGAUGUAGCACUUUAUGCUCCGACCCCGUAUCUACCCAGGAAGAUCUACUCUGGUAUGAGAAAAAGGAAAAGCUUCUCCUUCCCCCCAGAGGACCAGACAUUUCCCUCUCCGUACAGACACGGGAGCUUUAAUGCUGUAGAAACAGGUGGAGGGUGGAACGCUGUGACCACAUUUGCUCUGGAGAGUGUGGAUACAGUUCUUUAUCCAGGUCAAGCAGCACUGAAUACCCAUAGUCCAGGUGGGGAGGAAGAAUGCCUGAACAUCUUUGGACAUGUCUUUUUCCUCACCACGUUGGGUGGGUUUUUGGAAAGGCGAGAGCAAGUGUCCUUGCUUCCCAUCAGUGCUGUCAGAGAGUCCACAGUGAUUCCCCAGAACCCGGUUCAUAAACUUCUGGAGGACCUCAUGAGAGUUCUGAAUCUUGAACAUGGAAGGUGGCAUAUGGACCAACAUUUUUAUUUGGGUUUUAUGGCACCCAAUGGUUAGGAAGCCCUUCAUUUUGCAACUAUUCUUUCUGCCAAAAGAGAGUGGUACUUGAAGUGCAGAAGAAUAUCAACUGUGCUGUUUGGAGAUACAUGUGCUUCUUCCCUAACAAAAGCAAUUCCCAAUCAGGAAUGAAUAAAGGGGAUGAUGGGAGUUGUGGUCA
rnacentral:lncRNA from 1 species